GAGGGUAGAGCUCAGUGGUAGAGCAUGCGCUUAGCAUGCAUGAGGUCCUGGGUUCCAUCUCCAGUACCCCCA
rnacentral:tRNA from 1 species